rnacentral:lncRNA from 1 species
UUCACCUAAGUGUGGUACUCAGUUUGCUUUAUCGUUACUGAAUGUUAAAAGACGUGGAGAAGUACAGUCGAAACGAUCUAUUUAAAACCAGACUACUUUCUAUGAAAGAAGAUUGAGAUUGGAGAAGAUUAACCUCAUAUGAGAGCAAGGUAGCAAAAGGAAAUGAUAUGAGGACCUCUGCUAUGGGCUCCAGCUCUCUGGAGCCAGAAGAGGACGGUGGGAACCUGUUCCUAACUCAGGAUGCAACUAGCGUCUCAGUCAGAGCCCAGUCUGCUAUGAGCGGGCCAUUUUAAUUGUCUACUUUCCAAUUAACUGCAACACCCAUCCAGCACUGGCAUGAACCAGCACGGCUGUUAUGAUGCCUGCCAUGAGGAACAAUUUUCUUUUUAAAGUGUGAGAUUACAUGGCACAGUUUCUUUUCUUGGCACAUAACCCCGUUUCUGUACUACUAUGAACAUCGAGUCAUUCUUUCGAAAAUCCAUAAAGAAGAAACUCCUAAAUGUAAAUACG